rnacentral:rRNA from 1 species
CGAGUUAUCUGAACCUUCGGGGACGAUAACGGCGUCGAGCGGCGGACGGGUGAGUAAUGCCUAGGAAAUUGCCCUGAUGUGGGGGAUAACCAUUGGAAACGAUGGCUAAUACCGCAUGAUGCCUACGGGCCAAAGAGGGGGACCUUCGGGCCUCUCGCGUCAGGAUAUGCCUAGGUGGGAUUAGCUAGUUGGUGAGGUAAGGGCUCACCAAGGCGACGAUCCCUAGCUGGUCUGAGAGGAUGAUCAGCCACACUGGAACUGAGACACGGUCCAGACUCCUACGGGAGGCAGCAGUGGGGAAUAUUGCACAAUGGGCGCAAGCCUGAUGCAGCCAUGCCGCGUGUUGAAGAAGGCCUUCGGGUUGUAAAGACUUUCAGUCGUGAGGAAGGUAGUGUAGUUAAUAGCUGCAUUAUUUGACGUUAGCGACAGAAGAAGCACCGGCUAACUCCGUGCCAGCAGCCGCGGUAAUACGGAGGGUGCGAGCGUUAAUCGGAAUUACUGGGCGUAAAGCGCAUGCAGGUGGUUUGUUAAGUCAGAUGUGAAAGCCCGGGGCUCAACCUCGGAAUGCAUUUGAAACUGGCAGACUAGAGUACUGUAGAGGGGGGUAGAAUUUCAGGUGUAGCGGUGAAAUGCGUAGAGAUCUGAAGGAAUACCGGUGGCGAAGGCGGCCCCCUGGACAGAUACUGACACUCAGAUGCGAAAGCGUGGGGAGCAAACAGGAUUAGAUACCCUGGUAGUCCACGCCGUAAACGAUGUCUACUUGGAGGUUGUGGCCUUGAGCCGUGGCUUUCGGAGCUAACGCGUUAAGUAGACCGCCUGGGGAGUACGGUCGCAAGAUUAAAACUCAAAUGAAUUGACGGGGGCCCGCACAAGCGGUGGAGCAUGUGGUUUAAUUCGAUGCAACGCGAAGAACCUUACCUACUCUUGACAUCCAGAGAACUUUCCAGAGAUGGAUUGGUGCCUUCGGGAACUCUGAGACAGGUGCUGCAUGGCUGUCGUCAGCUCGUGUUGUGAAAUGUUGGGUUAAGUCCCGCAACGAGCGCAACCCUUAUCCUUGUUUGCCAGCGAGUAAUGUCGGGAACUCCAGGGAGACUGCCGGUGAUAAACCGGAGGAAGGUGGGGACGACGUCAAGUCAUCAUGGCCCUUACGAGUAGGGCUACACACGUGCUACAAUGGCGCAUACAGAGGGCGGCCAACUUGCGAAAGUGAGCGAAUCCCAAAAAGUGCGUCGUAGUCCGGAUUGGAGUCUGCAACUCGACUCCAUGAAGUCGGAAUCGCUAGUAAUCGUGGAUCAGAAUGCCACGGUGAAUACGUUCCCGGGCCUUGUACACACCGCCCGUCACACCAUGGGAGUGGGCUGCAAAAGAAGUAGGUAGUUUAACCUUCGGGGGGACGCUUACCACUUUGUGGUC